GAAGGAGAAAGGCUGGAAUAGAGGAGGAGAUGAAGACCUGCUCCAUUCAGGAUCUGGUGUAUUAUUCUGGCUCUCUGUCAAUACAUGCAAGCAGCAGCAGGACAAAAGCUUUAAUGCUUCACAGUUUGUAACAAGAAGCAGAAAAUACAGCAGAGCAAGUUCCAGUCAUGUUUGCCUGGUCUCUGUGUCAUCCCAGGAGGACAAAUGCACACAAAGGUACCAAUCAGAUUUUUGCAAAUCAUGCCUCUGGAUUCACAGUCAUGGAG